GGACUACUAGGGUAUCUAAUCCUGUUUGCUCCCCACGCUUUCGUGUCUCAACGUCAGGAAUGGGCCAAGAAGCUGCCUUCGCCAUUGGUGUUCCUCUCGAGAUCUACGCAUUUUACCGCUACUCCGAGAAUUCCACUUCUCUCUUCCACCCUCAAGUACGCUAGUUUCUACCGCUGGCCUCCGGUUAGGCCGGAGAAUUAAACAGUUGACUUGGCAUACCGUCUACACACCCUUUACGCCCAAUGAUUCCGAAUAACGCUUGCACCACUCGUAUUACCGCGGCUGCUGGCAC
rnacentral:rRNA from 1 species